rnacentral:rRNA from 1 species
UACGGAGGAUGCAAGCGUUAUCCGGAAUGAUUGGGCGUAAAGCGUCCGCAGGUGGCAAUGUAAGUCUGCUGUUAAAGAGUGAGGCUCAACCUCAUAAGAGCAGUGGAAACUACAUAGCUAGAGUGCGUUCGGGGCAAAGGGAAUUCCUGGUGUAGCGGUGAAAUGCGUAGAGAUCAGGAAGAACACCGGUGGCGAAAGCGCUCUGCUGGACUGCAACUGACACUCAGGGACGAAAGCUAGGGGAGCGAAUGGG